AGGCCAGUAACUCAGCGGGAGAGUGCCAUCCUCACACGGUGGAAGUCAGGGGUUCAAAUCCCCUCUGGCCUACCA
rnacentral:tRNA from 1 species